AUCACUUCUCGGCCUUUUGGUUAAGAUCAAAUGUAGUAUCUGUUCUUAUCAGUAUAAUAUCUGGUAUGUCCUCUAUCCGAGGACAAUAUAUCAAGUGGAUUUUGGGAAGUAGGAGUUGGAAUAGGAGCUUGCUCCAUCCACUCCACACAUCGACCUGGUAUUUCAGUGUCUCCAGAAACCGUGAAACAAAU